GGGCCCGCACAAGCGGUGGAGUAUGUGGUUUAAUUCGAUGCAACGCGAAGAACCUUACCAGGGUUUAAAUGCAGAACGACAGGGGUGGAAACACCCCCUUCUUCGGACGGACUGCAAGGUGCUGCAUGGUUGUCGUCAGCUCGUGCUGUGAAGUGUCGGGUUAAGUCCCAUAACGAGCGCAACCCCAUUUCUAGUUGCCAGCGGUUCGGCCGGGGACUCUAGAGAAACUGCCAGCGUAAGCUGUGAGGAAGUGGGGAUGACGUCAAAUCAUCACGGCCCUUACAUCCUGGGCCACACACGUGCUACAAUGGUGGGGACACAGGUUGCCAACCCGCGAGGUGAGCCAAUCCCAAAACCCCAUCUC
rnacentral:rRNA from 1 species